rnacentral:lncRNA from 1 species
CUGAUUUACUGCAAGUUUAAGAUGAAAAUCAAGGUUGUUCUCAUUUAACGAAGAGUUGACACGUGAGAGGAAAACAUGCUGAUUUCUAACAAAAUUUAUACAAUGCUUAUUUACAUCUAACUCCAAAGAUAGCAACUUUGAGCACAUCUAAACUACGUCGAAACUAACCAGGAUCAGAAUACUUAUGGCCGUGCUUCUUAUGUUUCUUCUCAGCCUUUUUCUUAUUCUUACUUCCUCCAGCUGCCUUUGCGCCGCCUCCUUCGCUUCCACCCGCCUUUUGCCUGUUCC